rnacentral:rRNA from 1 species
UACAGAGGUCUCAAGCGUUGUUCGGAUUCAUUGGGCGUAAAGGGUGCGUAGGUGGUGAGGUAAGUCGGAUGUGAAAUCUCCGGGCUCAACCCGGAAAUGGCAUUGGAAACUACCUUGCUGGAGGAUUUGAGGGGGGAUUGGAAUACUUGGUGUAGCAGUGAAAUGCGUAGAUAUCAAGUGGAGCACCAGUGGCGAAGGCGAAUCCCUGGAAAAUACCUGACACUGAGGCACGAAAGCUAGGGGAGCAAACAGG